GCAUAUUUCAUGUCCCGGAGGUCCGCAGCUUUGUUCCUGAAGGUGCAGGCAUUCCUCUCUUUCCAAAUUUCUGACAGGAUCAAGAUGCUGAUUGUUUUCACUGCUUUCUUGUGUUUUGGUAAACCAGAGUUGCUCAUCGUGGCUAAGAUGUCGGAAGAUUUUUCUUUGUCUUCCCAUGCUCCCGGGUGUAGUGUCACACAAGCAUGGUGCGAUGCCGCGUGUGUCCAUAUUUGUAUGGAC
rnacentral:lncRNA from 1 species